UACGUAGGGUGCAAGCGUUGUCCGGAAUUAUUGGGCGUAAAGAGCUCGUAGGUGGUGUGUCGCGUCUGCCGUGAAAGCCCGGGGCUUAACUCCGGGUCUGCGGUGGAUACGGGCAGACUAGGAGGCAGGUAGGGGAGAACGGCAAUUCCCGGUGUAGUGGUAGAAAUGCGUAGAUAGUCGGGAGGAACACCAGUGGCGAAGGCGACUUCCUGGCCUGUUCUUGACGCUGAGGCGCGAAAGCUAGGGGAGCAAACGGG
rnacentral:rRNA from 1 species